rnacentral:rRNA from 1 species
AUUGAACGCUGGCGGAAUGCUUUACACAUGCAAGUCGAACGGUAGAGGGGGCAACCCCUCGAGAGUGGCGAACGGGUGAGUAAUAUAUCGGAACGUGCCCAGUCGUGGGGGAUAACGUAGCGAAAGUUAUGCUAAUACCGCAUACGAUCUAAGGAUGAAAGCGGGGGAUCGCAAGACCUCGCGCGAUUGGAGCGGCCGAUAUCAGAUUAGGUAGUUGGUGGGGUAAAGGCUCACCAAGCCAACGAUCUGUAGCUGGUCUGAGAGGACGACCAGCCACACUGGAACUGAGACACGGUCCAGACUCCUACGGGAGGCAGCAGUGGGGAAUUUUGGACAAUGGACGCAAGUCUGAUCCAGCCAUUCCGCGUGCAGGAUGAAGGCCCUCGGGUUGUAACCUGCUUUUGUACGGAACGAAAAGGUCUCUCUUAAUACGGGGGGCUCAUGACGGUACCGUAAGAAUAAGCACCGGCUAACUACGUGCCAGCAGCCGCCGUAA